AUUGAACGCUGGCGGCAUGCCUUACACAUGCAAGUCGAACGGCAGCACGGGUGCUUGCACCUGGUGGCGAGUGGCGAACGGGUGAGUAAUACAUCGGAACGUACCUUAUCGUGGGGGAUAACGCAGCGAAAGUUGCGCUAAUACCGCAUACGCCCUGAGGGGGAAAGCGGGGGACCGUAAGGCCUCGCGCGAUUAGAGCGGCCGAUGUCUGAUUAGCUUGUUGGUGAGGUAAAAGCUCACCAAGGCGAUGAUCAGUAGCUGGUCUGAGAGGACGAUCAGCCACACGGGGACUGAGUCACGGCCCAGACUCCUACGGGAGGCAGCAGUGGGGAAUUUUGGACAAUGGGGGCAACCCUGAUCCAGCAAUGCCGCGUGAGUGAAGAAGGCCUUCGGGUUGUAAAGCUCUUUUGUCAGGGAAGAAACAGCAGCUCUAACACAGUCUGCGAAUGACGGUACCUGAAGAAUAAGCACCGGCUAACUACGUGCCAGCCGCCGCAGUAA
rnacentral:rRNA from 1 species